rnacentral:rRNA from 1 species
UAGUGAGUUUGAUCCUGGCUCAGGAUGAACGCUGGCGGUCUGCUUAACACAUGCAAGUCGAACGCAAGUAGAAAUACUUGAGUGGCGGACGGGUGAGUAACGCGUGAGAAUCUGCCUUCUGGUCGGGGACAACCACUGGAAACGGUGGCUAAUACCGGAUAUGCCUAUGGGUGAAAUAUUAAUAGCCUGAAGAGGAGCUCGCGUCAGAUUAGCUAGUUGGUAGGGUAAGAGCCUACCAAGGCGACGAUCUGUAGCUGGUCUGAGAGGAUGAGCAGCCACACUGGGACUGAGACACGGGCCCAGACUCCGUACGGGAGGCAGCAGUGGGGAAUUUCCGCAAUGGGGCGAAAGCCUGACGGAGCAAGACCGCGUGAGGGGA